rnacentral:sRNA from 1 species
UCCCGGACACGUCCAACAGGUUUUUUUGCCCUGUUCCGUGUAUUUGAAAUCGAGGGAGGCUGGCGAGGCCGUGAAAGGCAGGUUCGGAUGGGGGUAGGCUACUAACUACUAACUUAGUAUAUAUGGACUGGAUGUUCAAAAAGUAAAAUAAUGAUACUAAUUAAUACUAAUACAAGGACAACGUUCAGAGUUCAUUAUUAUAUUGGGUAUAAAAACUAAAAACAAUCAUGCCUUGCAGUCCCAGACCAGAAAACGGGUUACAUGCCUGAUAUAUAAAUAAAACUACUGAUUUUAUAUCGCCCUGCGUAAAUCAAGUAACCAGUUUAAAUAAUAAUAAUAAUAAUAAUGAUAAUAAUAACAAUGAUAAUAAACGCCUGGAAAAAAGUAAAAGGAAAGGAAAAAAAAACAAAGAAAAGAAAAGAAACUACCCCCUCAAACUCCGACACCUCUCGCUCUCAACACAGUCCCUAGGGCGCUCUUGCGUUCUCUUCGCAAACCCCGCUGCGCCCCUCGCUGCCGCGAAUACAAAAUCUGGAGUAUGCUCCGGCGCCUGCAGAAUGGCGGAUGGCUCUGCGAGCCCGCGCAGAGCAUCCAAAGCAACCUCAAGA